rnacentral:rRNA from 1 species
GAUGAACGCUGGCGGCAUGCCUAACACAUGCAAGUCGAACGAAAGCAUGAGCAAGUUUCCUUUGUUGUUUUCGCGUCGGACACGGGAGUGUCAUGUAUCGAAACGUCCUUUUUGACUGGGGAAAAUGCGGGGAACGUGAGCCAAAUACGGCAUAUUCUUUGAAGCGGAUAGUUCAAAAGUUUCAGACGGUCCGCCUGUCACUCGUACAUUGUCCGAUGCUGCAGUAGCUAGUUGGUAGGGUAACGGCUUACCAAGGCAACGAUGCAUAGCCGACCUGAGAGGAUGAUCGGCCACACUGGAACUGAGACACGGUCCAGACUCCUACGGGAGGCAGCAGUAGGGAAUCUUCCGCAAUGGGCGAAAGCCUGACGGAGCCACGCCGCGUGAGUGAUGAAGGUCUUCGGAUCGUAAAACUCUGUUAUUAGGGAAGAACAUAUGUGUAAGUAACUGUGCACAUCUUGACGGUACCUAAUCAGAAAGCCACGGCUAACUACGUG